GAUGAACGCUGGCGGCGUGCUUAACACAUGCAAGUCGAACGGAAAGGCUCCUGCUUGCAGGGGUACUCGAGUGGCGAACGGGUGAGUAACACGUGGGUGAUCUGCCCUGCACUUCGGGAUAAGCCUGGGAAACUGGGUCUAAUACCGGAUAGGACCACAUUUUGGAUGGUGUGGUGGAAAGUUUUUCGGUGUGGGAUGAGCUGGCGGCCUAUCAGCUUGUUGGUGGGGUAAUGGCCUACCAAGGCGUCGACGGGUAGCCGGCCUGAGAGGGUGUACGGCCACAUUGGGACUGAGAUACGGCCCAGACUCCUACGGGAGGCAGCAGUGGGGAAUAUUGCACAAUGGGCGCAAGCCUGAUGCAGCGACGCCGCGUGGGGGAUGACGGCCUUCGGGUUGUAAACUCCUUUCGCUAGGGACGAAGCGCAAGUGACGGUACCUGGAGAAGAAGCACCGGCUAACUACGUG
rnacentral:rRNA from 1 species